rnacentral:rRNA from 1 species
CGGGACGGGUGAGUAAUGUCUGGGAAACUGCCUGAUGGAGGGGGAUAACUACUGGAAACGGUAGCUAAUACCGCAUAACGUCGCAAGACCAAGAGGGGGACCUCGGGCCUCUUGCCAUCGGAUGUGCCCAGAUGGGAUUAGCUAGUAGGUGGGGUAACGGCUCACCUAGGCGACGAUCCCUAGCUGGUCUGAGAGGAUGCCAGCCACACUGGAACUGAGACACGGUCCAG